GACGAACGCUGGCGGCGUGCUUAACACAUGCCAGUCGAACGGUAAGGCCCUUCGGGGUCAUACUAGUCGCGAGCGGGUGAGUAACACGUGAGCAACCUGCCCUUGCCUUCGGAAUACCAGCUGGAAACAGCUGCUAAUACCGGAUAUGACCCUGGUCCUCCUGGCCUGGGGUGGAAAGCUCCGGCUGUCAGGGAUGGGCUCGCGGCCUAUCAGCUUGUUGGUGGGGUAAUGGCUCACCAAGGCUUCGACGGGUAGCCGGCCUGAGAGGGCGACCGGGCACAAUGGGACUGAGAUACGGGCCAGACUCCUACGGGAGGCAGCAGGGGGGAAUAUUGCACAAUGGGCGCGAGCCUGAUGCAGCAACGCCGCGGGCGGGAUGACGGCCUUCGGGUUGUAAACCGCUUUCAGUAGGGACGAAGCCACAAGUGACGGUACCUACAGAAGAAGGACCGGCUAACUACGUG
rnacentral:rRNA from 1 species